rnacentral:rRNA from 1 species
GUGAAGCGGGAAGAGCUCAAAUUUGUAAUCUGGCGGUCUCAGGCCGUCCGAGUUGUAGUCUGGAGAAGUGUUUUCCGCGUCGGACCGUGUACAAGUCCCUUGGAACAGGGCGUCAUAGAGGGUGAGAAUCCCGUCUUUGACACGGACUGCCGAUGCUUUGUGAUGCGCUCUCGAAGAGUCGAGUUGUUUGGGAAUGCAGCUCAAAACGGGUGGUAAAUUCCAUCUAAAGCUAAAUAUUGGCGAAAGACCGAUAGCGAACAAGUACCGUGAGGGAAAGAUGAAAAGCACUUUGGAAAGAGAGUUAAACAGUACGUGAAAUUGUUGAAAGGGAAACGAUUGAAGUCAGUCGCGUCUCCCGGGACUCAGCCUUGCUUCUGCUUGGUGCACUUCCCGGGCCGACGGGCCAGCAUCAAUUUCGACCGUCGGAGAAAGGCUGGGGGAAUGUGGCACCUUCGGGUGUGUUAUAGCCCUCGGUCGUAUGCGACGGUUGGGAUUGAGGAUCGCAGCACGCCUUCAUGGCCGGGGUUCGCCCACGUAACGUGCUUAGGAUGCUGGCGUAAUGGCUUUAAACGACCCGUCUUGAAACACGGACCAAGGAGUCUAACAUGCCUGCGAGUGUUUGGGUGGAAAACCCGGACGCGAAAUGAAAGUGAAAGGUUGGGACCUCUGUCGUGGAGGGCACCGACGCCCGGACCAGACCUUCUGUGACGGUUCCGAGGUAGAGCAUGUAUGUUGGGACCCGAAAGAUGGUGAACUAUGCCUGAGUAGGGUGAAGCCAGAGGAAACUCUGGUGGAGGCUCGUAGCGAUUCUGACGUGCAAAUCGAUCGUCGAACUUGGG